AGGUGGUUAUAGCACGAGGGUUCCACCUCUUCCCAUUCCGAACAGAGAAGUUAAGCCUCGUCACGCCGAUGGUACUGCGUAACAGUGGGAGAGUAGGUA
rnacentral:rRNA from 1 species